GGGAAUUCGAUUAGAGUUUGAUCAUGGCUCAGAUUGAACGCUGGCGGCAGGCCUAACACAUGCAAGUCGAGCGGUAGAGAGGUGCUUGCACCUCUUGAGAGCGGCGGACGGGUGAGUAAUGCCUAGGAAUCUGCCUGGUAGUGGGGGAUAACGCUCGGAAACGGACGCUAAUACCGCAUACGUCCUACGGGAGAAAGCAGGGGACCUUCGGGCCUUGCGCUAUCAGAUGAGCCUAGGUCGGAUUAGCUAGUUGGUGGGGUAAUGGCUCACCAAGGCGACGAUCCGUAACUGGUCUGAGAGGAUGAUCAGUCACACUGGAACUGAGACACGGUCCAGACUCCUACGGGAGGCAGCAGUGGGGAAUAUUGGACAAUGGGCGAAAGCCUGAUCCAGCCAUGCCGCGUGUGUGAAGAAGGUCUUCGGAUUGUAAAGCACUUUAAGUUGGGAGGAAGGGCAUUAACCUAAUACGUUAGUGUUUUGACGUUACCGACAGAAUAAGCACCGGCUAACUCUGUGCCAGCAGCCGCGGUAAUACGAAUCACUAGUGAAUUCGCGGCCGCCUGCAG
rnacentral:rRNA from 1 species